GACGAACGCUGGCGGCGUGCCUAAUACAUGCAAGUAGAACGCUGAAGGAGGAGCUUGCUUCUCCGGAUGAGUUGAGUACGGGUGAGUAACGCGUAGGUAACCUGCCUGGUAGCGGGGGAUAACUAUUGGAAACGAUAGCUAAUACCGCAUAAGAGUAGAUGUUGCAUGACAUUUGCUUAAAAGGUGCAAUUGCAUCAAAACCAGAUGGAUAUGCGUUGUAUUAGCUAGUUGGUGGGGUAACGGCUCACCAAGGCGACGAUACAUAGCCGACCUGAGAGGGUGAUCGGCCACACUGGGACUGAGACACGGCCCAGACUCCUACGGGAGGCAGCAGUAGGGAAUCUUCGGCAAUGGACGGAAGUCUGACCGAGCAACGCCGCGUGAGUGAAGAAGGUUUUCGGAUCGUAAAGCUCUGUUGUAAGAGAAGAACGAGUGUGAGAGUGGAAAGUUCACACUGUGACG
rnacentral:rRNA from 1 species